rnacentral:rRNA from 1 species
AUUGAACGCUGGCGGCAGGCCUAACACAUGCAAGUCGAGCGGAUGAGAAGAGCUUGCUCUUCGAUUCAGCGGCGGACGGGUGAGUAAUGCCUAGGAAUCUGCCUGAUAGUGGGGGACAACGUCUCGAAAGGGACGCUAAUACCGCAUACGUCCUAAGGGAGAAAGCAGGGGACCUUCGGGCCUUGCGCUAUCAGAUGAGCCUAGGUCGGAUUAGCUUGUUGGUGAGGUAAUGGCUCACCAAGGCGAGGAUCCGUAAACGGUCGGAGAGGAUGAGCACUCACACAGGAAAGAAGCCACGGUCCAGACUCUGACGGGAGGCAGCAGUGCGGAAUAUUGGACAAUGGGCGAAAGCCUGAUCCAGCCAUGCGGCGUGUGUGAAGAAGGUCUUCGGAUUGUAAAGCACUUUAAGUUGGGAGGAAGUGCAGUCAGCGAAUACCUGGUUGUUUUGACGUUACCGACAGAAUAAGCACCGGCUAACUCUGUGCCAGCCGCCGCCGUAACAC